CCGAGUUUACAACUCCCAAACCCAAUGUGAACGUUACCAAACUGUUGCCUCGGCGGGAUCUCUGCCCCGGGUGCGUCGCAGCCCCGGACCAAGGCGCCCGCCGGAGGACCGACCAAAACUCUUAUUGUAUACCCCCUCGCGGGUUUUUUUUAUAAUCUGAGCCUUCUCGGCGCCUCUCGUAGGCGUUUCGAAAAUGAAUCA
rnacentral:misc_RNA from 1 species